rnacentral:tRNA from 2 species
CGGGGUGUAGCGCAGCCUGGUAGCGCACUUGCUUCGGGAGCAAGGGGCCGGAGGUUCGAAUCCUCUCACCCCGACCA